ensembl:lncRNA
GUUUCAUUAUGCUGCUGCUGCGCCAUCAUCAGCCAGCCGCUCGGAGCAGUGAAUAAUAUCCUGCUGCAAACGCUAUUUACUCGCCGUUUCCCGAUAGCCUGCAAUUAUCUAUACCAUCACGGAUAUCUUUGUGAUUGGCUUGUGUACCAUGGAAAACAUCAAGACAGGACUGUAGGCUGUUAUCUGGAAAUAUCAUGUUGGCAUAUUCUGGUGGAAACCACUUCCAGGAAAUUCAGUCACAUUCUCCAUAACCACAAAAGCCAUUUGUAUCUCGCAUGUAACAUUUUGUUAUUAACUAAUUAUUUUGAAAUAUCUGAAUUUUAUUUUCUGGUAUUAAUCACUUAACCCAAUGCUUCUUGAGCCAGCUGGUCUUAACAUCAGCCUGCUGAACCCUGGAAAGGUAACCGUGGAAACACAGACGAACGUUUAGAACAUUGCUGUUCUGACUGGGAUGCACCUUUAAGCUGGAGGGUUUGUAGAGGUGAAAAUAUCUUGUUUAUUUCUAGAAAGUAUCAUGUCAUCCUGUUUUGUUUAGAUUUGAACUGAGAGCAAGCAUAUGGGGCUCAUCUUAUAGAGACGUACUUAUGCCAUCAGACAUCGCCUUAACUGCCCUGCCUGCAUUUCAGAUGUGUUCUAGAGUAUGAAAAAAAGUGAAAGUGACGGGACAUACAGCCAAGUAUGGUGACCCAUACUCAGAAUUCGUGCUCUGCAUUUAACCCACCCAAAGCAGUGAACACACACACUGUUUGAGAGAAAGGACCACAGGUGCUUAGGAGGUUAUAGUUCUCGCCUUGGAGCGUCUGUCAGAACGCAGGACAGGAGGCAGGAAUCAGUUUGAACAGUUUACUGAACUUUCUUCAGCAGCACAGACAUCCAUUAGACAGCAACGUUGCCACACUUUACAAUGUAGGUACAAAGUUGGAUACAGCCGUUGGCACUCAGCUUAGGUUUAUGGAGAUGGUAGAUUUAAAUCAUAAUCAUAAGCAUGUUGGUUGUGUGUGUGGCUGCAAAUAAACAAAACAGUAAUCAAUAUUACUUAAAGCA